rnacentral:rRNA from 1 species
UGGGGAAUAUUGCACAAUGGGCGAAAGCCUGAUGCAGCGACGCCUCGUGAGGGAUGAAGGCCUUCGGGUUGUAAACCUCUUUCAGCAGGGAAGAAGCGCAAGUGACGGUACCUGCAGAAGAAGCGCCGGCUAACUACGUGCCAGCAGCCGCGGUAAUACGUAGGGCGCAAGCGUUGUCCGGAAUUAUUGGGCGUAAAGAGCUCGUAGGCGGUUUGUCGCGUCUGGUGUGAAAACUCGAGGCUCAACCUCGAGCUUGCAUCGGGUACGGGCAGACUAGAGUGCGGUAGGGGAGACUGGAAUUCCUGGUGUAGCGGUGGAAUGCGCAGAUAUCAGGAGGAACACCGAUGGCGAAGGCAGGUCUCUGGGCCGCAACUGACGCUGAGGAGCGAAAGCAUGGGGAGCGAACA